rnacentral:rRNA from 1 species
UCUUAUAAAGAGUUUUACCCUGGCUCAGGGUGAACGCUAGAAGCAUGCUUAACACAUGCAAGUUGUUGUUUCUUAGGCAGCGUACGGAUGAGUAAAAACACGAGAAUUUGACCUUGAAUUAACUGGGGAGUUUUUAAUUAAAAGUGGUUUGUUUGAACAUGGAUAGACUCGUGGCUGAUUAGCUAGUUGGUGGGAUAAUAGCUUACCCAGGCAAUGAUCAGUAGCUGGUUCGAGAGGAUGAUCAGCCAUAUUAGGAUUGAAACACGGCCUAAAUCUCUUUGAGAACUGCAGUGAGGAAUAUUUCGAAAUGGGCAAAAGCCUGACGGAGCAAUGUUUUGUGGGGUUUUUUAUCAAAACUUCUUUUCUCUAAUAAGAAUAAAUGACGUUUAUGAGGAAUAAGUAUUGGCCAACUCUGUGCCAGCAGCCGCGGUAAGACAGAGAAUGCAAGCGUUAUCCAGAAUUAUUGGGCGUAAAGGGUCUAUAGGUUGCUAAAGCAAAAGUUCGAUGUUAAAUAUCAUCAAUAACUUAAUGAUGAGGCGUCGAAAACUAUCAAGCUAGAGUUUUUUUGAGGGGGCAGAAGGAAUUUAUGGUGUAGCGGUAGAAUGUGCAGAGAUCAUAAGGAACGCCAAUAAGCGAAAGCAUUCUGCUAUUGAAGUGCUGACAUUGAUAGACGAAAGCUAGGUUAACAAUCGGGAUUAGAUACCCCAGUAGUCUUAGCCGUAAACAAUGGAUACUGGUGAUAUUGCACAGUUUUAAUAUGCUAUGACCAUAGCUAACGCAUAAAGUAUCCCGCCUGAGGAGUAUGUUCGCAAGAAUGAAACUUAAAGGAAUUGACGGGGAUCCCACAAGCGGUGGAGUGUGCGGUUUAAUUUGAUGCAAAGCAAAGAACCUUACCAGGGUUUGGCAUGUUGUGAAUAUUAAUAUUCUUGAAAAAGAUGAAUCACGGGAAAUGUGAAACAGACACAGGUGGUGCAUGGCUGUCGUCAGCUCGUGCCGUAAGGUGUUGGGUUAAGUCCCGUAACGAGCGUAACCCUCAUGCUUUGUUACCAUAUUGAAGGGAACCCAAAGCAAACUGCCAUCAAAAACUGGAAGAAGGAGAGGACUAUGUCAAGUCAUCAUGCCCCUUAUGCCCUGGGCUACACGCGCGCUACAAUGGUUAGUACAAAUAUUUUCUUAUCCCGUGAGGGUAAAUUUAAUUAAAGCUAAUCCUAAUUUGAAUUGCAGACUGCAACUCGUCUGUAUGAAAUUGGAAUCGCUAGUAAUCGCUGGUCAGCCAUACGGCGGUGAAUUUAUAAUCGGAUCCUGUACACACUGCCCGUCACACUAUGGAAAUCAAUAUGUUAUAAGCCAUUUUUAAUGAUGAUGUCGAAAACUAAAUUGGUAAUUGGAGUGAAGUCGUAACAAGGUAACUGUACUGGAAGGUGUAGUUGGACCAUAUUU